AUUGAACGCUGGCGGCAUGCUUUACACAUGCAAGUCGAACGGUAACAGGGAGCUUGCUCCGCUGACGCGUGGCGAACGGGUGAGUAAUGCGUCGGAACGUGCCGAGUAGUGGGGGAUAACGCAUCGAAAUGUGUGCUAAUACCGCAUACGUACUGAGGUAGAAAGUGGGGGACCUUCUGGCAUCACGCUAUUCGAGCGGCCGACGUCUGAUUAGCUAGUUGGUGAGGUAAAGGCUCACCAAGGCGACGAUCAGGAGCGGGUCUGAGAGGAUGAUCCGCCACACUGGGACUGAGACACGGCCCAGACUCCUACGGGAGGCAGCAGUGGGGAAUUUUGGACAAUGGGCGCAAGCCUGAUCCAGCCAUGCCGCGUGUCUGAAGAAGGCCUUCGGGUUGUAAAGGACUUUUGUCCGGGAGCAAAUGCCUGGUGUUAAUAGCACUGGGAGCUGAGAGUACCGGAAGAAUAAGCACCGGCUAACUACGUGCCAGCCGCCGCCGUAACAC
rnacentral:rRNA from 1 species